AUGCAGCUGGACGAUGCGUGUUGCAGGAUCACAGAUAGUGCAGGCAUUGGUGGUAAUCUGCUUCUACUUUCUGUAUGGAGCUGGGAGCGUCUGCCUGUUGGACGCCCGAAGAGCGUCAGGUUUAAUCCUUGGUAUGAAGAUGAACAUGAUGAAUUACGGCGCCCCACUUGGGCUUACAAGUGGGAUGUAGUUUCCGAGAGCGUCAGGACUGGGACAAGCAUCAUGCUCCGUAUGUUACCCACUUCCAGCUUUCUAUGGAGCAAGCUCGUAGCACUGCACACGCCCCGCUUUGUCCGCAUAACCCACUUGCAUUUAAUAACUACGUAUGAUGGUUUAUUGAAACUACUCGAGUUGAGAUAUGCCCGCCGGCAUAUAAUGAGGAUAUUCUUGAAGAACCCGUAA
rnacentral:rRNA from 1 species